rnacentral:rRNA from 1 species
UACAGAGGUCCCAAGCGUUGUUCGGAUUCACUGGGCGGAAAGGGUGCGCAGGUGGGUUGGCAAGUUCGAUGUGAAAGCCCCGGGCUUAACCCGGGAAUGGCAUUGGAAACUGCUGAUCUGGAGGAUCGGAGGGGGGACUGGAAUUCUUGGUGUAGCAGUGAAAUGCGUAGAUAUCAAGAGGAACACCAGUGGCGAAGGCGAGUCCCUGGACGAUACCUGACACUGAGGCACGAAAGCCAAGGGAGCAAACAGG